rnacentral:rRNA from 1 species
UACGAAGGGGGCUAGCGUUGCUCGGAAUUACUGGGCGUAAAAGGCGCGUAGGCGGACAGUUAAGUCAGAGGUGAAAGCCCAGGGCUCAACCCUGGAAUUGCCUUUGAUACUGGCUGUCUUGAGUGCGGGAGAGGUGUGUGGAACUCCGAGUGUAGAGGUGAAAUUCGUAGAUAUUCGGAAGAACACCAGUGGCGAAGGCGACACACUGGCCCGUAACUGACGCUGAGAAGCGAAAGCAUGGGGAGCGAACAGG